rnacentral:SRP_RNA from 1 species
GCCAGUUGCAGUUGUGCAUGCCUAUAGUCCUAGUUACUCAGGAGGCUGAGGUGGGAGAAUUGCCUGAGCCCAGGAGUUCUGGGCUAUAGUGUGCUAUGUGGAUCAGGCGUCCACACUAAGUUCAGCAUCAAUAUGGUGACCUCCUGGGAGUGGGGGACCACCAGGUUGCUUAAGGAGGGGUGAACUGGCCCAGGUCAGAAACGGAGCAGGUCAAAACUCCCGUGCUGAUCAGUAGUGGGAUCGCGCCUAUGAAUAGCCACUGUACUCCAGCCUGGGCAACAGAGCGAGACCCCAUCUCU